GAUCUUGUCAUUAAAAAUUAUCUUAGGUAGUAACAGAAUCCUUGAAACUUAAAAAGAUUGGCGGUAGUUAGACCUUAUCAGGGGAAUUUAUUUAUCAAAAUGACAGUGCGCACGUAGAAUAACUUAGGUUUUAUUAGCUUGUAUACCGUUGUGUAGUUUUUCUUUUAAAAAGUUAUUUCUGAAUUUAUUGCAAGGUGUGAAUGCGGAAAAUCAAAUCAAGGUGCAGUUUAUUUCUAAGGUAGGGAUGAAUUACAAUGCAUGAGUGUGUCCGAAUAUAUAACUGAGAUGUUAAUUGAAGGUGGAUUUGUAUGUAAAUGUAG
rnacentral:rRNA from 1 species